CUCGCUUUUGAAACCGCUAGCAGCUUUCCUUUUCCCGGGUGUAAAUAACCGUGCGGAAUUAGUACCCUCGCCCCGGCCUUACCGCGGAAGAGAUUAUUUCGCUGGCCUCAGAAUGACAAAACGUAACAAAGCAACGAUAUUACUAACACUAACCCUACUCCAAACUCUAACCCUAAUCCUUACCCUAACCUAAUCCUUACCCUAACCUAACCCUAUGCCAUAUUUGUUUCUAAACCAAUCUUGAAGAAAAACGUUUUGACGAAAUAUCAUCCUGAGGUCAGCGAAAUAG